CAGGAUGUCUGAGUGCCCAAUGUGAUGUGAACAUCAAGCUUGCUGCAAGGAUGUAAGGUCCACCUGACAAACAUGUGUAAAACCACUCAAGGGCAAGGAAAAAAUGCACUGAAAUAUAUCAAAAAAAUAAGCACAACAAAUGCGCUGAUGCUCAUUCGCCAGCACGCUCACAUGGGCAUAUUCUUUCCAGCGGAACUGUCAGAAUUUGCACUUCAGUUCUAUAAUUGAAAUCCCAAAGUCUGCCAGUUCAUAAUCACCUCUACACACUCACACAUACACAUAGUCUCUUGUCUUGGCAUAUCGAUGAGUGGAACAGCUGCUAAAAUGACAGCACAGAAACCUUUUGGCGAGCUCCUCGGGCUAUCCGCACGAAGGCACGUGGAUACCUGCUUGUGGAGGGAGAGGAAGAGAGCCGGGGGAAGCAGCAGGGGAGAGACAGAGGAGACACAGACGGUGAAAAAGAUGAAGAUAAGGGAGGAGAGACAGAAAGGCAAAGCAUGUAAGACAGAGAGGGAGAAACAGAGUCAGCGGUGAAAAAGACAGAGAGCGCUGCUGUUGAGCAAGUGUGCUGCAUCAUUCAAACACCUGCUGUUUCUGCUGCAGUUAAAUGAACACAUUACAUCCAGUGCAAAACUCUCUCUCACACACACACACGUGCACAGAGCUUCAAAUCAUAACAGGUAGCAUUAAUGUUGAGUCCCUUUCUGGAGAAGAUCCUGCAAGAUGACACCAGAUUACUACCCUAAACUCACUCCUGUAGGGAGAGUUGUAGCUCUAUCUAUGGUGAGCAAUGCUGCAUUUAGCAGUCAUGUUGAAGAACAUGACUUUAAAAGUCGCUUUAAAACUUGGUUUUGACAAACGUGUUGAUUUCUACAUGAUAGGUGUGCUAAUGUGCUUCCAUUAGUUCAUGCCUCAGGGGAUUUAAUUUCUAAUUCGACCCUGAUCUAAAAUCAUAGAUUUUAUUUUGCACUAAUGCUGCAUGAAGAGGUAAUUUAUGCAAAUUUGGUAAUGCCCCUAAGUAAUUGAACCCUAAGUGGGUUAAUUAAUCUAUAACUUAACAGAUUUAGUGAAAAAACAUUUGUCCCAUCCAUUUUUUUAAGAAAUCUAUUGUUUAAAGCAUCAGAUAUACAAUUCACUAGCAUUUAAGACCAACCGAGGGUGUUUGGUUGAUAUACACUCAUCAGUCACUUCAUUAGGUACACCUGUUCAGCUGCUCAUUAAUGCAAACAUCUAAUCAUCCAAUCAAAUGGAAGAAAUCCUGUUCAUUUAAGCAGGUAAACAUGAUUGAGACAACUUGGCGAAGUUCAAACUAAGUAUAAGAAUGGCAACAAUAAAAGGUGAUUUAGGUGACUUUGAGCAUGGCGUAGCUGUUUGGCUUUUCCCACACAACCAUCUCCAGGGUUUACAGAGAAUGGUCAAAAAAAAGAAAAGACAGAAAAAUAACUUUUUCAAGGGUGAGAGGAGAUUGGCCAGACUGCUCUGAGCUGAUAACAAGGCAACAGUGGCUCAAAUCACUGGUUACUCAAAAAAAACAUGAAAUCGCUGACUGGAACAGCUGGAAGAAAAAAGCUUCUUCUUUUUUCCUUUUUUUUUUAGUCCGCCCCACUAAAAGAACUGUUUUAGUGGACUGAAGAACCGUUGUAUGAGGUAUGUAUGGACAUAUUGUAAAUGUAAUGUAAUUAAUGAACUUAGUACAGUAACAUGUUACAUUACUGUAUUAAUGAAAAAUGUAGUGUGACAACAGUGGUAUGCAGAAGAGCAUCUCUGAACGCACAACACUUCAAAUCUGUAAGCAGAUGGGCUGCAGCAGAAGACCACACCAGGUGCCACUUCUGCCAUCUAAGAACAUGAAACUGAGGCUUCAGUUUGCAUGAGCUCACUAAAAAUUUCUUGGUCUGAUUGUCUUGAUUUCUCUUGCAAAAUUUGAAUGGUAGCAUCAGAGUUUGGCGUAAACAACAUGAAAGCAUUCAUCCAUCCUGCCUUGUGUCCGUGGAUCACGCUGGUGGUGCUGGUGUGAUGUGGGAUAUUUUCUUUGUAUUGUUGAAAUACCAAAGUCUACCUGUGUUGUUGCUGACCAUAUCAUGGUCAUCAAACCUCUGAGCAAUGUUUCCAGCACCUCGAUGAAUCGACAUCACGAAGAAUUAAGUCAGCUAUGAAAGCAAAAGGGGGGGUCCAUCUUUGUAUAGCAAGGUGUACAUAAUGAAGUGACCAGCGAGUGUAAAUCUUAUUACAUCAUUUGCACACAUUUAGGCCAUCACUCUCAAACGUCUUUAUUAUAGUUGUCCUGCUUACCCAAAUACACACAAGCGUUUCUUUUGAGGUGGCCUAUUUCACACAGCCAAUCCCGUUAAUUGGCCGCAUAGUUCUUUUCAUCCUUAUCUUCUUCCCUUAGAGAAUAGUGUCUCAGCACAAGUAAACUACUGAGUUGUAUCCUAAUGUUAAAGGAAGACUUUAGGAGGAACAUCUUACUCAUUUUCUAACAAAGAGUCAGGUGAGGCCAUGUCUGUGCGUUAAACAGAAGCCAGCAGACUAUAUCAAGACUGAGAACGGGUGGAAACACUAAGAAGUUGCCAGGAUAUUUUCCACCCACACCUUACGCAAAUGAUAAUGACUAUGCAACAGGCUAGCCAUUUCCCCCUGUUUCCAGUCUUUACAGUAAAUUCAACUAACUGGCUGCUGGCUGUCGCUUUAUAUUUAGUGUAUGCACGUGUGAGUCGUACUGUGAAGGUAAAUAAGCAUAAACAUUUCCUGGAGAAAAUAACAGAUGUGUGAGAAUUCAUAUUUUAAAACAUGCUCAAUCUUUCCUUUUUCAAGCGUUAAAGCUUGGAAUAAACAGCACAUAUGUGAUAACCUAGACAAUACUGGACCUGAAGGUACCACCUACACCAACACUGGGUCAGUGAGUCAUUACAGCCUUGCCUAUAUCAUCUUGUAAGAGUUUUUCAUAUUAAAUGACUCUAGAUUUGCAGUUUCUUCUUUUUGCAACGAUAGUUUAUCGCUGUGAAAGCUGCAACUAUACUGUAUAGAAUGAAUCUGCCUGUUUGCCAGUGUGUGGUCACUUUGACAUCCCUGCUUUAUUUGCAUAUCCUCAACCGUGCAUCUAGAAUUUGAUUUCUUAUGGGUUUUGUUUUUUACCUACCACAAGAGGAGAUUGGCCCAUUUUCAAUCCUGACCAUUUAUUAUGUAAAAUAGCCCUUAAAAAACACUAAAUGCAUUAGUUUAACUUAAACAUUUGCGCUACCAAUACUGAAAUAUCCAGCACUCCUUAGGAUUUGGCUACAGUACUCAUAAUCUUGAACUGUGUAUGUCUGCUGGCCCAUUAAUCAAAUCCCAGAGCAGUUUUCAAAAAAGAUUUCUCACCAUCUCCCCAUAAAACAACAGCAUAGCCUUCCUGUAAUGAAAGCCAAGCAUCAUUUAAAGACUUCUGAACCAUUCUGCGGACCUGUUUGAUUUCCCCCACGGGAGGCCUAACAGGUUCUGGACUCAGAUCUCAUCCCAGCGUGAGGUGCACUCUUGAAGAAUCCAUUUAUAAUUCGAUUCUGUCCCAAUUAAUUCAUCAGUUUCUCUCCACUCUAAAUGGAAUUAGGUCAAAGCCACUCAUAUGACCAAGCCCCCGCUACGAUUAAAAACCCUGCUUUAUAUAGGUUAUCCAGUUCUGAUUCAUCUAACAGUGUUCUCCCUGCAACAUUGUGUGUUCGACACUUUUUGCCUUGAAUUCAAGCAGAUAAUGGGUUAAAAUUGAGGCCUGGGGCCCCCCAGUCAUUAAGCCGCACUAGAUUAUAGCUAGCUCAACUCUACGUCUGAGUAUAUUCCAACGGGGUCCAAUAAACUGCCGUACAGCUUUCUGUCAAUCCUUUUGCCUGCUUUUUGCUUCUUUUUUUUUAGUUCAUCCUUGCAGCUCUUAGCACUUGGCAGACAUCUGAUAUUCCCAAACAGGGAGCAAACUGCAUGAAUAUUUUUAAAACCAGAAAGGGGGCAUUUAUGACUUAAAAAAAACCAGCUACACUGGUUCAAGAUGUAACUACAUGCAAACGUCUCAGGAGGGGCACUAAAAAAAACACAGAUCAGGGCAACGUGUGAACGUCUCGUGACUGAGCUGAGGCCCCGAGGUUAUUAAAAGUUUCCUGUCUCAUUUACACUCGCGCCCUCUGAGGAUUAUCAAGUUUAAGAGGUGAAAAGACAUCCUUUGUCUGCACGCUCCUGAAGCAGCACUACACACCUGAGCUUAAGCUGUUCUUAACCAGUUUGGCUUAUGCUGUUCUUAACCAGUUUGGCUACCGCUCUUUGGCUUUCCAAUCGGAGCCCCUGUCACACUCUGAAGGCUCAAAAAUCUGCUUUU